AGCACACAGGCGACCCUGCCAGGGAACACGCAUGGCUUGGAGCUCCCAAGUACUCUCUCCUGGCAAGUGAGGAGUGUAAAUAAAUCUUGGGAGGAGGACACGAGAGAGAAACACAGUCCCCGGAGGACAGUGUUCUGGAGUGGCCACAUGAGUUGGAAACUUCCAUGCUGAAGCCUUAAGAGCCAGCUUGCAGCAUUUCUGAAAGUGUAACCACCUGCUCCAAUACAGCACUCAUCACCCAACAUGCCGGUUGAUUGAAGCCAGAGCUGAAGACCAAGGCAGAGCUGGUCCAAGGAGCUGUGAUGCAGGCACAAUAAACAUCUGCUGUGAACAACCUGCUCCAAACCACCAGCAUCUCUGACUAAAUGACCUUCGAAUCAUCACUUGUCCAGCACAAUCUCAUCUCACACAAGAUUUGCAGCCAUUCAAAUCUCCUUCAACGGGCAGCUCUGAAAAUAAAGCCCUAGUCUUCCCCCAGGCCUCGGCACCUCCUUGGGAUCCUCCCCCGGCCACCUCUUGGCAUUGUGGGCAUCAAAAACUUGCCCCUCUCCAUCACUCACUCAGCCUCACUGGUCUCCUUGUUCCUCCCACACCCAAGCACAUGCCUGCUGCAGGGCCAUUGCACCUGCUGUUCCUGCUGCCCUAGUGCUCAUCUCGAGGGAAGUCACGUGACCAGCUCCCUCA
rnacentral:antisense_RNA from 1 species